AGAGUUUGAUCCUGGCUCAGGACGAACGCUGGCGGCGUGCUUAACACAUGCAAGUCGAACGGAAAGGCCCUGCUUUUGUGGGGUGCUCGAGUGGCGAACGGGUGAGUAACACGUGAGUAACCUGCCCUUGACUUUGGGAUAACUUCAGGAAACUGGGGCUAAUACCGGAUAGGAGCUCCUGCUGCAUGGUGGGGGUUGGAAAGUUUCGGCGGUUGGGGAUGGACUCGCGGCUUAUCAGCUUGUUGGUGGGGUAGUGGCUUACCAAGGCUUUGACGGGUAGCCGGCCUGAGAGGGUGACCGGCCGCAUUGGGACUGAGAUACGGCCCAGACUCCUACGGGAGGCAGCAGUGGGGAAUAUUGCACAAUGGGCGGAAGCCUGAUGCAGCAACGCCGCGUGCGGGAUGACGGCCUUCGGGUUGUAAACCGCUUUCGCCUGUGACGAAGCGUGAGUGACGGUAAUGGGUAAAGAAGCACCGGCUAACUACGUG
rnacentral:rRNA from 1 species